rnacentral:lncRNA from 1 species
GAAGCCUUUUCAGCCUCCAGGCAUGUCCCCACCUGCCUCACAGCCACCGACGCAUCUCACGGCGGGGGUCUAAUUGCGUGCGCGUAUGGAUGCUCCUUUCCCCGCCGCCUUUCUAACAACUAGUUACUGUUAUGAUGUAUCGUUGGUCCGGCGUACGACGGCGCCUGAUGCGAUUUAUGCGUCCGGAAGCCCUUUCAGCCUCCAGGCGUGUCCCCACCUGCCUCACAGCCACCGACGCAUCUCACGGCGGGGGUCUAAUUGCGUGCGCGUAAGGAUGCUCCUAUUCCUGCCGCCUUUCUAGCAACUAGUUACUGUUAUGAUGCAUCGUUGGUCCGGCGUACGACGGCGCCUGGU